rnacentral:rRNA from 1 species
AAACAGCAGUGAUACAUAACAAAUCACCCGCCCGGGAACUACAAGCAAAAGCUUAAAACCCAAAGGACUUGGCGGUGCUUUAAUCCCCCUAGAGGAGCCCGUCCUAGAACCGAUUACCCCCGUUAAACCUUACCCCUCCUAGACAUACAGCUUGUAUACCGCCGUCGCCAGCUCACCCUGUGAAGGAAGAAUAGUUAGCAAAUCCGGUAAUUACCCGAAACGUCAGGUCGAGGUGCAGCCCAUGGAGGGGAAUGAGACAGGCUACAUUCAUUUCAUAAAUGCACACGAACGAUGCAUUGAAACAUGCAUACUGAAGGAGGAUUUAGUAGUAAGUACAAAAUAGAGAGUUGU